GUUGGUUGAUGGAUCUCAUUUUAUUUUAUGAAGUGUUUUGUGGCGAAUGGGGGCUCCUGCAUGACUUCGAUCUGGUAGCCUCCCGUCUCUUCCUCUUCGUAUCUCUAUCUCUUCCUAUCCGCCAGGAGGUCUUCUCUCAGGAUUUGUUUCAUUGGGCCAAUAAGAAUUUUCCUAAAGUCAUUAUUUUUGUUGUUCGGUUAUCUGAUUCAAUAUGUUUUAAUAAAGUUGGAAUUAAUUUUGUCCAAUUUAAGGGCCAUAAUGGAUGGUUUUGUCACGUGAAGAGCGUCACGAAAUAUGCCAAAUUUAAAAUCAUGAGUCAUUCAUGAAAUCAGAUUGAAAAAUUUAUGUGGAGAUGACAUGAAAAAGAGAGUCGCGAUUUCUUUUACAUCCGAAGGUGUAAUCUUCCUGGUGAAGGAGAAAACUUGCGCGGCGGAGGGGUCUUUACAGGAGGAGAAGAUGGGCGUUGGUUGGUGGUGGGGGUGGGCUCAGACGAGGGGGGAGCCGGUGACGAACUCGGUGAAGGCGAGGGCGACAANNNN
rnacentral:lncRNA from 1 species